AGCCUGAACGCUGGCGGCGUGGCUAAGACAUGCAAGUCGUACGGGUGUAGCAAUACACCAGUGGCGGACGGGUGAGUAAUGUAUCGCUAACGUACCCCGGAUUCUGGGAUAGCUGCCCGAAAGGGCAGGUAAUACCGGAUGAUAUAUCCUUUUCGCAUGAUGAGGAUCUCAAAGGGAAACCGUUCUGGGAGCGGGCGAUAUCGUAUCAGCUAGUUGGUGAGGUAACGGCUCACCAAGGCGACGACGCGUAGCCGGACUGAGAGGUUGGCCGGCCACAUUGGGACUGAGACACUGCCCAGACUCCUACGGGGGGCUGCAGUAACGAAUCUUCCGCAAUGCACGCAAGUGUGACGGAGCGACGCCGCGUGUGGGACGAAGUCCUUCGGGAUGUAAACCACUGUCAGGGGUUAGAAGUUCUGAUCAACCCAGAGGAGGCACGGCUAACUCUGCGCCAGCAGCCGCGGUAA
rnacentral:rRNA from 1 species